rnacentral:tRNA from 1 species
UAGAAACUUAGGUUAAUUUAAACCGAA